AGAGUUUGAUCCUGGCUCAGAAUGAACGCUGGCGGCGUGCCUAACACAUGCAAGUCGAACGGUAACAGCAGAGCUUGCUCUGGCUGACGAGUGGCGCACGGGUGAGUAACAGAUAGAUAAUGUGCCCCUUAGUCUGGGAUAGCCACUGGAAACGGUGAUUAAUACUAGACACGCCUCAAUAUCUGAAGAUAUUGAGGGAAAGGUUUUUCGCUAAGGGAUCAGUCUAUCUCCUAUCAGUUAGUUGGUGAGGUAAGAGCUCACCAAGACGAUGACGGGUAGCGGGUUUGAGAGGAUGAUCCGCCACACUGGAACUGAGACACGGUCCAGACUCCUACGGGAGGCAGCAGUGAGGAAUAUUGCACAAUGGGGGGAACCCUGAUGCAGCAACGCCGCGUGGAGGAUGACGCAUUUCGGUGUGUAAACUCCUUUUAUCAGAGAAGAAGAUGACGGUAUCUGAUGAAUAAGCUCCGGCUAACUCCGUGCCAGCAGCCGCGGUAAUACGGAGGGAGCAAGCGUUAUUCGGAAUCACUGGGCGUAAAGGGCGCGUAGGCGGGUUUGUAAGUCAGGUGUGAAAUCCUACAGCUCAACUGUAGAACGGCACUUGAAACUACAGACCUAGAGUAUGGAAGGGGCAGAUGGAAUUAGUGGUGUAGGGGUAAAAUCCGUAGAUAUCACUAGGAAUACCGAAAGCGAAGGCGAUCUGCUGGGACAUUACUGACGCU
rnacentral:rRNA from 1 species